rnacentral:rRNA from 1 species
GGGCCCGCACAAGCGGUGGAGCAUGUGGUUUAAUUCGACGCAACGCGAAGAACCUUACCUGGUCUUGACAUCCUGCGAACUUUCUAGAGAUAGAUUGGUGCCUUCGGGAACCGAGUGACAGGUGCUGCAUGGCUGUCGUCAGCUCGUGUCGUGAGAUGUUGGGUUAAGUCCCGUAACGAGCGCAACCCUUAUCCUUAAUUGCCAGCGGUUAGGCCGGGAACUCUAAGGAGACUGCCGAUGACAAAUCGGAGGAAGGUGGGGACGACGUCAAGUCAUCAUGGCCCUUACGUGUAGGGCUACACACGUGCUACAAUGGCCGGUACAAACGGUUGCGACCCCGCGAGGGGUGACCUGA